rnacentral:rRNA from 1 species
UACAGAGGGGUCCAGCGUUAUUCGGAAUUAUUGGGCGUAAAGGGCGCGUAGGCGGCCUUGCGUGUCUUUCGUGAAAUCCCUCGGCUUAACUGAGGACGUGCGGAAGAAACUGCAGGGCUUGAGUCCGGGAGAGGGGGGUGGAAUUCCCAGUGUAGCGGUGAAAUGCGUAGAUAUUGGGAGGAACACCGGUGGCGAAGGCGGCCCCCUGGACCGGUACUGACGCUGAGGCGCGAAAGCGUGGGUAGCAAACGGG